GGAAGUAAAAGUCGAACAAGGUCUCCGUAGGUGAACCUGCGGAGGGAUCAUUACAGAGUUCAUGCCCUACCGGGUAGAUCUCCCACCCUAUGUUAUUAUUACUUUGUUGCUUUGGCGGGCCGUUAGGCUCCGGCCCGACUACCGGCCCCGGCUGGUAAGCGCCCGCCAGAGGACCCAAAACCCUGAAUAUUAGUGUCGUCUGAGUACUAUAUAAUAGUUAAAACUUUCAACAACGGAUCUCUUGGUUCUG
rnacentral:misc_RNA from 1 species